CGCCUUCUCUGUGGGGCACGUGAUGUGGGGAGGCGGGAGCGCGCAGGGAGGCGGGAGCGCGCGGCGCUGUGUGAAAGCUACUUAAUGAGCUCGGAGAAGUUUAUAGAGGAACACAGCAGUCCCAAGACAGAGAGGAAUUCAUUGCCAUAGAGAUGGGAGCAUCAGAAUUUUGUAGAUUAACAUGGAAGAAGGAAAAGUAACCUCCCAGUUCCUGCCUGGCGAUAAGAAAAUAGGCAAUUCAUAACUGACAUAGAGAAUGUGGUGAAAACGUGACAUGUCAAAGCUGGCAGGCAGAAGCAGCACAAUGCUUGAUGAAGGCAAUAGAAUACAAGACUUCCUUUUCUAUGUGCUUAAAACACACUUGGACACAAAGAUUAUGCCUAGAACUGCAAGGUUGCCACUCAUGUUUUCAUAUUUCAUAGAUGCGUUGUCGGACUUUAUAUAUUAUUCAUAUUCAUAUAAAAUUUAUGAUCAGAAAUACUUUCUCCCCUUUCUUUUCCUCUUUCCUCCUUGAGUAUUUUGCGCUGGAUGUGGAGCUAUGUAAACUCCCUCUGGCGGUUAACUGCAAACCCAGAUCACUCAAGGAUUGCUGCAUUUCUAGGUUGAUAACAUAGCUAUGCUGGUGAAUAUGUGCCAAAACUUACCAUAAAAUUAAUUUAACUGGAGUCUGCCUUCACACUCCUUCAUAAAGUGGUUGUCGAAUUCAAUCACAAAAGCCAUGGAUCCAUGCACCAAAAAAGUAUCAUAAAAACUUGUUAGGCAGAUGAAAUGAGCUCUGUGCACUGUCCAUCCAAAAGGAUAAGAAAACACUAAAAAUCAAAGAAAAAAGAAGUUACAUGUGAUAUUGAAACAUGGCAAUCAGCUGGAUCAAAACUAUUGUGAACCACUGGCUGGCAGCCCUAAAUACUUCGCUGUGCUUAGGAAAAUAAAAUAUUUCACUUCAUAUUUUUGAGUAAUUAUUGUAAUCUGCGUUUUAAAAGACAUAUCCCCUUCCUUAUAAAGCCAUCUGAAGCCACUGGGGAGGUGGCUACUAGUUGCUAUCACAUCUCUCGUGACAAGGAGUGAAAUAGUCUUAUCAAAACCAGGCAAUAUUUCUGGACUAUUAACAGAAGCAUUUUAUGUAAGAAUGAAAAAAAAUAAUAGUUUUUGGUUUUGUUUUUUUUUUCUACACAGCUCAGACUGCAGAUCAAUAGUUGUGUGUCUUUAGUACGCAAUGGUCUAAGUAGUGUCUGUCUAAAAGGGCCUUCCUCAAAUCAGGGAGAGACUUGGGCCCCUUUUUUUAGGUCACGGGAUGGGACCUCUCACCUCUGGAUCUACACAGCUCCUGUAGGAUAACUCCUUUUGCUCAGUUUUAGACUGUAGCCAUAAAGGCACAAAAAAAGCAGAGGAUUCAUUCACUGCAUUGAAGAUAUCUAUGUUUUAUGGAUAUGUGAAGACUAUUGAGAGGUGCAGAAUUCAACUCAUUUUUUCUUGCCUCACAUUUUUCUUGAGAAAGGUGACUGGUGCAUUAAGUUUGUAAAACUUGUUAUUUUUGGCAUCUGCUACCACUGAAUGGUACCAGGGAGUCUGGAUGUGUUGCUUUUUUCCUUCAUCCACACUUCACAUAUUUUUUUCCAGCUUUAUUUAUAUCUGAAAAAGAAGCCACGGGGGAAUUUUUAAACGGGAAGCAUCCAACACAAACAAGUGUUCCAAUUCAUGUGUAGCAAGAUAGUAAUCCUAAAACAUGAACCAAAAGCACCGAGAUCAUUCUGUCACAAUAUAAAUCCUGUAUACAGUAUUUUCUUAAGGGCUCUUUGAAAAAAAGAAAAAGAUCUCGUUUCUCACAUUUGUUCAACCUGAUCAGUUAUUUUUGUCAGCUGUGUGUCUGCCUGUGAUAACUUUUUGCUUUAUCGUGGGGUUGUAGGAGGUGGAGCUGGAAUAGAUCUCAAGAAAUCUCUCGUUCAUCCCACCGCCUAAUGCUCAUCUGUCUCCUGCCUGACAAAAUGCAUAGGUCCAUUUUUAGAACAUGAGCUAUUUUUCUUCUCAUUCUGAUCUUUGGAAAAACUGAGAUGAAAAUUUCAUGGUAGAAAAAAUAGUAUUUCGGGCCUAAAUAAAAUGUGGUAAAAUAUGUCCUGCCCAUCUUUCAGUACGUUGCUCUGUUGACUGAUUUUGUUUUUCUUUUCUUCCUUGGGCUACUUUACAGCUUUCUCUCCCUUCCUUC